UUCGGUUCACGUUUGUGAUUAAUAGGGAAUCCGGUGAAAAUCCGGGACUAUACCCGUAGCUGUAAGCUUUUUUUUGUUUUUCGAUCAAGAGAUCCACUGUCGGCUAACCGAUGGGAAGGAGGUCGAAAAUAGCGAGUCAGAAGACCUGCCGAUUGCGAUA
rnacentral:ncRNA from 1 species